rnacentral:rRNA from 1 species
AUGUGCAUGACAAUACAUGUACCUUUCGGCCACCCAAGGACAAACCUUAUAAAAGUAAAUCAAAAUGUGGUUAGACUUCAAUGCAAGUACUUCAGUAAGCAACACACUAUUUCCACCAAUCCAGACUCAAAACUAAAACACAGCAAAUUAAUUGGACACACCAGAUUACCAGUCAUCUUGAGUCCCCAACAGGAAGGCCAUGGCCUCUCUAAUCAUGCUUGUGUCAUGGACCAUUUGGAACGAGCGGAAUGCCCGUGUUUUUUGAAACAAGAGCGCCCCACCACCAAUCUUGCUAAACAACAUCAUCUGCGAGGCAAACCUUUGGAUCACCACGGGAGCUAA